UGGAAAUGAUGAAGUUGAGAUUUUGGGUGUUGAGUGAAUGUUAAUUUUAGAAUGUGUAAAUUUAGUUGAUGUAGUAUAACUCGUAGUAAUGAAGUGUGUGUGUGUGAUAUAUUUGGUUAUUUGCAAGGGGGCUCUGAAAUUACAUUGCUGAUUUCGGAGUGCAUCUGAGGGAUGUUGCAAUGUGAAGGGCUUCUCUGCAACAUUACCAGUGAUUAGAGCCCAUAUUGGCUCCCUUAAAUAACCUGCACAUCCUUAUAUCUCUAACGGGUGCUUGAUUAACAUGUACCCGUGAUCUGAUUCAA
ensembl:scaRNA